rnacentral:lncRNA from 10 species
CAUGCCUCCUCUCCACAUUUUCCCUGCAGCAGGAGCAGGAGAGGUACAGGUGGCGUGGCAGCCCCGGCCAACCCCGCACAAACAAACCCGAUGAUCUUGAGGCUGGCCCCACGAGUCCCAGCUGCGCCUUCAGCCGGGUGCUCAUGGGCUCCUGAGACACGGUGUGGGGAGAGGUUGAGGCCAUAGUGGAGGCUCCAGGCCUGGAAGCAGGUCCUGCCCAGCCAUGUGAGGUAGGAGUGAUGCACUCAGCUGCCUCAGGGAUGCAGGGCACAGGGGUCCCACCACCACCACUGCUGCUCCAGCAGCCACUCCUGCUGCCACCGCUUGCGCCUCCCUGCUGCAGCUGAUGGCCACUCCAGAUGGCCGCCACUGCCAUCAUUAGAAUUGAAUUGAAUUGUAUGACACUCAGUUGGUAUAGGAAAAUUGGUGUCGGAACUCAGAGGGUACGUGAGCUCUGUAUUUAUCAAAAGAACUUAUAGCUAAAAUACCAAGAAACGGCCGGACACGCUGGCUCAUGCCUGCAAUCCCAGCACUUUGGGAGGCUGAGGUGGGCGGAUCACGAGGUCAAGAGAUCAAGACCAGCCUGGCCAACAUGGUGAAACCCCGUCUCUACUAAAAAUACAAAAAUUAGCCGGGCGUGGUGGCAUGUGCUUGUAGUCCUAGCUACUAGGGAGGCUGCGGCAGGAGAAUCGUUUGAAAGCGGGAGGCAGGUGUUGCAGUGAGCCGAGAUUGCAUGGCGCCACCGCACUCCAGCCUGGUGACAGAGCAAGACUCUGUCUCAAAAAACGACGACAGAGGGAGACUCUGUCUCAAAAAAACAAAAAACAAACAAACAAAAACUGAGAAACACUGUAAUAGAUUUUUUAUCCAAGAGCACUAGUUCCACCCAGACUCAUGUCUACCCUGCCUAUAACAAACUAGGGAAAACACUAGAACAUGCAGGGUAUUAACUUACGCUUCUACAUGACCCAUCUUUUUUGUCUAGACUCCUACUAUUAGUUCAUUUUAUAAUUAUUGACCUGAUUGUCUUCUAAGGACAAAGUUUUGUCUUACAUACUAUGUGGGGAUAAUAUGGAAAAUAUAUUAACUAAGACAAGGCUGAGCACAGAGUGGCUCAUGCCUGUAAUCCCAGCACUUUGGGAGGCUGAGGCAGGCAGAUCACUUCAGCCCAGGAGUUUGAGACCAGCCUGGGCAAUGUGGCGAGAUUCUGUCUCUAUAAGAAAUACAAAAACUAGCAGGGCCUGGAUUCCUAGAUACUCAGGAGGCUGAGGUGGGAGGAUCACUUGAGCCCAGGAAGUUGAGGCUGCAGUGAGCCAUGAAAGAGCAAGACCUUGUCGGAAAACAAAACACCCAAUCUAUAACUUGGUCUCUAGGAAGAAAAAAUAAUCAGUGAUCCAAUUAAGACACACGUAUUCUUUUUUUUUUUUCUGGGCGGCGGGGUGGGAGCGGGGGACAGUCUUGCUAUGUCACCCAGGCUGGAGUACAAUGGCAUGAUCUCAGCUCACUGCAACCUCCACCUCCUGGGUUCAAGCUGAUUCUCCUGUCUCUCAGCCUUCUGAGUAGCUGGGAUCACAGGUGUGCACCACCACACCUGGCUAAUUUUUGCAUUUUUAGUAGAAACGGGGUUUCACCAUGUUGGCCAGGCUGGUCUUGAACCCUAACCUCAUGAUGCACCCGCCUCGACCUCCCAAAUGGAUUAUAGGCAUGAGCUACUGCGCCCAGCCAACACAUGUAUUCUUAACUCUGAUUCAUUUGUGUAAUAUCUAGGCAACCUUCCAACAUAUCACCAGUGAUCUCCUGAAGGACUUCUUAAACCUCCUUGAUGUCACAUUUCGUACCAGCUACUGAAGAUCUCCAGAAAGAUUAAGAAACAAAUAUUUCAUUAUCACCCAUAGGAAACUCCUCAAGGGCAGAAAACAUGUCUUUCUUGUUUACUGUUGAAUAACAGUGGCUCCAGCUCCCAUGGCACUUAAUAAAUGCAGCUGUAUAGCUUGGUGGUUAGGAGCACAAAUUUGAAACUCAGGAAUGCGGAUGAUUACUUUGGAGGAAAAGAGAGGACAAUGUAAUGGGAAGGGAGCUUCAAAUGAUUGGUAAUACUUUAUUUCUUAAGCUGGGUGUUGAGUAUUUGUCAUAUUAUUCUUUAUUACCUUUUACAUAAAUAUUUAAUCAAAAAAGAAAAGAAGAAAAAACAACACAGGCUUUGGAACUACACAGAAUUGGGCUGAAAUCUUAGUUCCAGCACUUACUAGCUGUGCUUCUUCAGGCAAGUCAUCAAGGCUGCUUAUUCAUCUAUAAAAUACUGGCCAGCCUCAUAGAAUUGUUAAGAGGAUUAAUCAAGAUGAGAGCUAUAUAAUGCUUAGCACAACACCUGUCACACAUUAAGUACACAAAUGGUAAAUGUCAUGACAAUGAUCAGUUUGAAUUAAAGGUGUUAAAAUGAGCACUGGCCUGGGCCAGAAAAUCUGGAUUCAGGAACCGGCUUUUGCCAUUAACAGUAUGACCCUGAGUUACAACUCUCUCUGGGCCUCAAUUUUUCUCACCAGUUAAAUCAGUUAAAAAAAGAAAAGGUGGGGAUAGGUGGACUAGAUGUUAUCUAAAUGCUUACGGCAUAUGCUUAAACUUCCAUGGAGCACACCUAGAAAACAGGUCUGUAACAUGAGAAAAAGUGCACAUUAACAUUAAGGGCUGGGCAUGGCAGCUCAUGCCCAUAAUCCCAGCACUUUGGGAGGCUGAGGUGAGGGGAUCACUUGAGCCCAGGAGUUCAAAACGAGCCUGGGCAACACAGUGAGACCCCGCCUCUACCAAAAAUAAUUUUAAAAAUUAGCCAGGCAUGGUGGCGUGUGCUUGUAGUCCCAGCUACUUGAGAGGCUGAGGUGGGAGGAUCAUCUGAGCCCAGGAGGUUGAGGCUGCAGUGAGCCAUGAUCACACCACUGCACGCCAAGCUGGUCCAGGAUGGGUGACACAGCGAGACCCUGUCUCAAAACACACAUUCACACACCACUACGUAAGAUAUAGUACCCUAGAAAUGGCAGAGAGAUCUGCAAACUGUAUGUUUUAACUGUGUGUGGGAAAGUGAUUUGGCAGAAACAUUCAUCUAGCUACAAGAACAAAGUAGAACUCACCAAGCCAAUGUUGGGUCCCGGAAUUUUCAGAUCUUGCCAACUUACAUGCAACAUUUCAUAACCCUUUUUCCUUAAAUAACUACAUUUAUCAUGCCCUUGCUUAAGGUUCCAGCAAUCCCAAACCUUCAGCUAGCUCAAGGUAGUAUUCCUGUCAACAUUCAUAGUAGUACAUCCUGAUUCCAGAUGAUUAUGCACCAUGGAAGCAAAACACAGAUGCUCCUUCACUUAUGAUAGGAUUUCUUCCCCAUAAACCCAUCAUAAGUUGAAAAUAUAAGUUAAAAAUAUACUUAGACCAGAUGCAGUGGCUCAUGUCUGUAAUCCCAGCAGUUUGGGAGGCUGAGGUGGGAGAAUCACUUGAGCCCAAGAGUUCAAGAUCAGCCUGGACAACAAAGUGAGACCCUAUGUCUACAGAAAAUAAAAAAUUAGCCAGGCAUGGUGGCACACACCCAUAGUCUCAGGUAAUCGGGAGGCUAAGGUGGGAGGAUCCCUGGAGCCUGGGAAGUCGAAGCUGCAGUGAGCCAUGAUUGAGCCACUGCACUCCAGCUUGGGCAACAGAGUGAGACCUUGUCUCAAAAAAUUUUUUGAAAUGUGUUAGGAUCCUCCCUGGCAACCAAAACUUAAAAAAAAAAAAAAAAAGAAAGAAAGAAAGAAAAAGAAAAGAAAAUGCAUUUAGGCUGGGCGCAGUGGCUCAAACCUGUAAUCCCAGCACUUUGGGAGGCCAAGGCUGGCAGAUCACAGGGUCAGGAGAUCGAG